ACUAUUUUGGCAGAUUAGUGCAAUAAAUUUAGAAUUUAUUAAUGUAAAUUUUUACAAAUAGUA
rnacentral:tRNA from 1 species